CCUACGGGAGGCAGCAGUGAGGAAUAUUGGUCAAUGGGCGCUAGCCUGAACCAGCCAAGUAGCGUGAAGGAUGACUGCCCUAUGGGUUGUAAACUUCUUUUAUAUGGGAAUAAAGUGCAGUAUGUAUACUGCUUUGCAUGUACCUUAUGAAUAAGGAUCGGCUAACUCCGUGCCAGCAGCCGCGGUAAUACGGAGGAUACGAGCGUUAUCCGGAUUUAUUGGGUUUAAAGGGAACGUAGGAGGGUUGUUAAGUCAGUUGUGAAAGUUUGCGGCUCAACCGUAAAAUUGCAGUUGAUACUGGCAUCCUGGAGUACAGUAGAGGUAGGCGGAAGUCGUGGUGUAGCGGUGAAAGGCUUAGAUAUCACGAAGAACUCCGAUUGCGAAGGCAGCCUGCUGGACUGUAACUGACGCUGAUGCUCGAAAGUGUGGGUAUCAAACAGGAUUAGAUACACUUGUAGUC
rnacentral:rRNA from 1 species